rnacentral:rRNA from 1 species
GGGGAAUUUUGGACAAUGGGCGCAAGCCUGAUCCAGCAAUGCCGCGUGCAGGAUGAAGGCCUUCGGGUUGUAAACUGCUUUUGUACGGAACGAAAAGCCUCUCUCUAAUACCUUGUAGUUUUGACGUUACCAACAGAAUAAGCACCGGCUAACUACGUGCCAGCAGCCGCGGUAAUACGUAGGGUGCGAGCGUUAAUCGGAAUUACUGGGCGUAAAGCGUGCGCAGGCGGUUUUGUAAGACAGGCGUGAAAUCCCCGGGCUCAACCUGGGAACUGCGCUUGUGACUGCAAGACUAGAGUACGGCAGAGGGGGGUGGAAUUCCACGUGUAGCAGUGAAAUGCGUAGAGAUGUGGAGGAACACCAAUGGCGAAGGCAGCCCCCUGGGUCGAUACUGACGCUCAUGCACGAAAGCGUGGGGAGCAAACA